rnacentral:rRNA from 1 species
GCGCAAUGGGUGAAAGCCUGACGCAGCAACGCCGCGUGGGGGAUGACGGCCUUCGGGUUGUAAACCUCUUUCGACAGGGACGAAGCUUUCGGGUGACGGUACCUGUAGAAGAAGCACCGGCUAACUACGUGCCAGCAGCCGCGGUAAUACGUAGGGUGCGAGCGUUGUCCGGAUUUAUUGGGCGUAAAGAGCUCGUAGGCGGUUUGUCGCGUCGGCCGUGAAAACCUGCAGCUUAACUGUGGGCGUGCGGUCGAUACGGGCAGACUUGAGUUCGGCAGGGGAGACUGGAAUUCCUGGUGUAGCGGUGAAAUGCGCAGAUAUCAGGAGGAACACCGGUGGCGAAGGCGGGUCUCUGGGCCGAUACUGACGCUGAGGAGCGAAAGCAUGGGGAGCGAACAGGAUUAGAUACCCUGGUAGUCCAUGCCGUAAACGUUGGGCGCUAGGUGUGGGGAUGGGUUCCACCGUUUCCGUGCCGUAGCUAACGCAUUAAGCGCCCCGCCUGGGGAGUACGGCCGCAAGGCU